AUGAAAACUGUGUUAAAUGCUAAUAUGCCAAAAUGAAGAUCACACUCAAUAAAGCAGAUUUCUACAUGGAGGAAGCCAAUUUCAGCCCUCUGUCCCCCUAACUCACCCUGUAGUGGCCCUCCAGAGCCUCUUUUGUAAAGAAGGACUUUCUGUUCUGCUUUGUUAAUUUUGCCGCUGAUCUGGGAGAAUGGGCUAAGGGAAGAGAAAAAGCAGUGUGCAUAGCUGUCGUAGUCUGGGUGCCUCAGGUUACUUGCCAUUUUUUAUCUGUUACUUCUACUGACUUUUAACCUAGGAAGUUUCUUUUGCAGGAUGGAUAAAUUAAAUACUUGAUGAAGUGGUAAGCUGGUUCCUGUGUGUCCAUAUCUAUGUGUGGCAGUGAUAUGGGGUAAAGUUAAUAGAUAUUUUGAAUUCUGCCAAAGCACAGAAAAAUAUUUUUUUAGCUGGACUGCUGAGGGGCUGGGAAAUUGUGAUUGAUAUAUUAAUUGUGAUUCAAGUAGAUUCUUUUAGUUUCAUCCCUGCUAUUGAAAAUAUUUAUCUAAAAUAUACCAAUCUGUUUUCUUGUCAAGUAUAUCUAAUAGACUUAAUGAAAUCGUGUCCUAUUAUUAGGGGCAUUGACUCUUUAAUGAUGGAGGUUUCUAUAAGUUUUAGUUUUCAUGUCGUUCUUUUUAAUAUUACCACUUGAAAAAAUUGCAAUUCUAGAUGUUAUGUAUAGUUUUGUGGAAAAGUAGAAGAAAUUGUUUUUCCCACUGUAAACCCAAUAAAUGGUUGCUUUUUUGCAUUUUUCAUGCUGCAUAUCCCCCCACAUAAAUGUACACCAAACAAAAAAAAACAAAAACUUAAAUCUUAUUACUUAAGGGUUUCAGUUAGAUUAUAUAUAUAUAUAUAUAUAAUUUUUUUUAGAGAAUUUUUUUAAUAUCUAUUUUUUAGUUUUUUCAGCAGACACAACAUCUUUUGUUUGUAUGUGGUGCUUAGGAUCGAACCCGGGCCGCACGCAUGCCAGGCGAGCGUGCUACCUCUUGAGCCACAUCCCCAGCCCUAGAUUAUAUUUUUGACUGAGGUUUUUACCAUUUGUGCUGCUAGCUACAAUAAGAAAGCCAGGCACAUGGCUCACUAUGGAAUAUAAACAACUUUCUGCUAUUGUGGCACUGACAUGGAGGGUAGCUAUGAUUCCUAGAAGAGACGCUACCCAGAAGCCACAACCAAAAACACUACAGAGGUAUUUUUUAAAAUAUUUUUUUUAGAUGUUGAUGGACCUUUAUUUUAUUCAUUUAUUUAUAUGUAGUGCUGAGAAUCAAACUCAGUUCCUCACACAUGCUAGGCAAGUGCUGUACCACUGAGCCACAACCCCAGCCUAACAGAGGUUUUUUUGAACAAAUACUGGACUCCCAUUUCACUUGAUGGAGUCAGGGUUAGGUUACUCAACUGAAAUCCCUGGGAGAUACUCUAGGAUCCAGAAGGCAGGUUUGUUUCAGACCCCACUUCCUGUCCCGGAGGAUACCUAGAAGGUCUUUAGCUUCUGCAGUGCCUGGGUGUGGUAGCAUUUUGGAUUCUCUUCUCCAUCAUGGAGUAAAAGAAAUAAGGACUUGGAGCUCUUGCCAGCCAUCUCCUCUACCCCUACCCUGCAUCACAUGCCCACAUGUAUGUCUACGUGCUUAUGCACAGGCAAAUGCUUCUUCAUGGAGGUGAGGUCAGCAUGGAGGUGCUCCUUCUACUUCUGGGCAGAGAAGCAGGCAGGCUUGCCUCCUACAACACAUUGCUCACAGUGGCAGCAAAAGCCACAUGCAUAGGCUUCAGUCCCUUGGUGGCACCCUCUGCCGUGACCUCCUUUAUCCUCUAGUCCCUGUAGCAGUGGCCCUGGUAAAGAACCAUGGUUUUCUGAACACCUGGACUCAGCUGUGACAGAUGUGACAGCCUAUGGAGUCUGUCUGGACAAGGCCCACUGGAUUGCACUGUGUAGUUCUCCUAUGGAGUAGUUUAGGAAUUCCUUUCUCUGUUGUGUCCUUCACAGCCCAGAGUUGCCACCUAGGAAGUCAUCUUAUUCAUCAACUUUUAUGUUUGUCUUCUGCAUUACUGUAUAUUGUUUCUAUUUUGUAAUGUUAAUGGCAUUUUUGUUGGUGGCAAUAAAACAGAAUAUUUUAAAAAUCAAUAAUACAGAAGAGUAUAGAGUGAAAACUAAGAUCCCUCCUCCCUGUUCCCCAGCCUCCCAUUUUGCCUCCUGACUCCACACAUUCAGCCUUUGUGAUCUUUUCUUUCUAUCCUAACAAAGAUGUUUUCUUCAUAUAUAAGCUUGAGUUCAUGGUUUUCCAUUAUGAAAACCCACUGUAUUCAUUGUUCUUCACCUCCCUUACCCCCAGUUUAUUUGAAAUUAGGAAAAAAAAAAACCUGCUGAUGACUAACAAAACUUGGUUACCAGUUAAAACACUAACGUUUAGCUCAGUCCCCACACUCAGGAGGCUGAGGCAAGAGGAUCCCUUGAGUUCAAGAGUACGAGAUCAGCCUAAGCAAUAUGAUGAGACCCAUCUCAAAAAAAAAAGCUGGGCACAGUCAUGCUUACCUGUAACCCCAGCAACAAGGGAGAUUGAGGCAGGAGGAUCACAAGUUCAAGGCCAGUCUCAGCAACUCAGUGAGCCCUAAGCAGCUUAGCAAGACUCUGUCUCAAAAGAAAAAAUAAGAAGGUCUGGGAAUGUGGCUCAGUGGCAAAACCCCUUUGGGUUCAAUCCCCAAUACCAAAAGGAAAAAAAAAAACAGAAGUAAAAACCACGAGCAUUUUUCAAUUAGUCUACAAUUAAUAUAAUUUCAAGUUUUUUCUUUUUUUAAAUAUUUAUUUUUUAGUUUUAGGUGAACACAAUAUCUUUAUUUUAUUUUUAUGUGGUGCUGAGAAUCGAACCCAGUGCCUCAUGUAUGCUAGGCGAGUGCUCUACCACUUGAGCCAUAUCCCCAGCCCCUUAAGUGUUUUUUCUUAAAACAUCAGUGUUAUUUUCUUCCCAGCUUUCUAUCAUAUCAGCUCCUGAAAGGCCUAGCUAGACUGAAUCAUAUCUUUUUUUUCUUCUUCUUCUUCUUUUGGAGCUGGAGAUUGAAAUUCACUCAUGCUAAUAAGCAUGCGCUUUACCACUGAGUCGCACCCCAGCCCCAGACUUAUUUCUUAAGCAAAAUUUAGGUUUAGUUGCUCACAGGAAAAGAUUUCAAGGGAAGAGACUGACUCUGUGUGAGCUAUAAAUGCAGCCAGUUUCCUGUCAGCAUUUUCUGGAAGUCUUAAUUUGAUGACGAAUGUCUCUAGUGUGCAUUUACCACUGGAAACUUAAAAGAGCUUGGAUUUUUUUAAUUAUCUAAAUAUAGAUAGCCACCUCUGGGAGCUCUGAUAAUAAGUAUAGGUUCUACAACUAAUUACUGCUUUCUCUGUGAACAACGCGGAAAACUCUUUUCUUGUCAAAGAAAACCGCAGCAAUAAAACAAAGUUGUAUGACUAAAAACACCAGUUGUGAACAAAGACAUAAAAGGAGAUAAGAAUAUGAUAUUCUUGAGAAUAAUGGGGACUGGGAGAGUCCAUAGUCUCUUCUCCUGCUAUAAGGAAUCUUAGCAGUCUUCUCCAGAUGUAAGGUUAGAGCUGCUUUCAAAGAACUGUUGAAGAUCUGUCAAGUGUUUUGGGUUUUUUUUUUAAAUAUUUUUAAAAAUAUAUUUAUUUAUUUAAGGCGUAGAUGGACACAACACAAUGCCUUUAUUUUUAUGUGGUGCUGGGGAUUGAACCCGGGUCCCACCUGUACAAGGCGAGCACUCUAUCGCUGAGCCACAAUCCCAGCCCCUUUUUUUUUUUUUUUGUACUGGGGAC